UAUACACAGAUAAUAAGUACAAGUAGACAUGAGAGCUUACCAUUCGAGCGACGGGAGUCUCUUUAUUUCUUUGAAGAUCCUUCCUAGGUGCCAAGCAAUCCAGCUACAUAGCUAUACUAGCUAGCUAGAGAGUCCUAGAACGCCUAGCCUUCAUCCAGAACAUCUUUUACGAAGCUUUAUGAGUAUACGGAAUAAUUGAACUUCAAUUAUUCAUGACGUUUGAGCCAUUGCAAUACUUUUGUAGCGUUCCCUCGAACAUAUCUCCGGAUAGAAAAUAGCUAGGAGGUCGAUCUUGGUAUCAUUUUGAAGCUUAGAGAACGCUUUAUCCGAUUCAACAAUAAAAAUAAACUCGGGUAUACCCGCGUUAAGGGGUGUUUUCCUAGGCCCUCGCGCAGAUAAAAAAUUUUCAAUUAUCUAUGGGAGGUUAUAGGUCGUUGCGAUAGCUACAGAAUGAUACCUUUAUUACCGUCGUAGCGUUCUCUGAUCAUGAGGUAUGGCUGAUUCAAGCGCGAUCACUUAGUUACAUUGCAUUCGAGAAAUAGCCUCAAGAAACCCUACAAAACAUUACAAUGAAAAUUAAAAGGUUUCCGCCUACGCCGUAAAAACGUGCGCAUGCGCGCGAAGUCUGUACGACCAUGUGCUAGAUUCUUUUUAGAUAUUCACUUCCAAGAGAGCUAUAGAGUGUCCCUAGGUCCCCACAAAGAAGAAGUAUCUUCAGGUGAUCCUAUGAAUUGUGUGGCUCUUAGAAGAACCGGAGUAAGAGAUACAGAGAGACAGAGAGACAGAGAAGAAAACAGAAAAAUAAAUAAAGAUUAAAUGGAGGGUGGUGGAUGGCUGGGAGACAUUGUUGGCUGAGGAGCGACUGUCUGGUCUUGGGGAGGAUGGUUCAGGGCAAGUGAUGCAAAACUCUCUGAUCUUAUCGAAAAGUCGAAAAGGUACCACUGCCGCUGAAGAGGGAGACCCUUUGACUGGGGGCAUCUCGUGCUUAGAUAUGGCACGAUUGUUAAAUGACAAGCUUUCGACUACCAUUGGUAGCCUGUAAUGUUGUAGUCAACAAAGACAGCCGAGUUUCAGUGAAUGAGGAAAGAACUGAGUAGACUCUAGUUGAGGUCACAUGUAAAAAAAAGUAUAUAUCUAGGAUGGGCAGUCACGUAUAUAUGUAUAUGCUGAGUGUUUAUGUAUGGUAUAUAGCCAACUGAGUAGUUUGAGCAUUUAAGACUUAGUUGGGUAGUAGCCAGGUAGUUUAGUUCAGUUGGUAUAGUCGAGUAGCUAUAUAGUUGGGUAGUGGAGUAGCUAUAGGUAGUUGGGUAGUGAAGUAGUCGAGCCUAGUUAUAGGUAUAGUGAAGUAGUUGGGUAGUGCAGUAACUAGGUAGUUGGGUAGUGAAGUAGUUGGGUAGUGAAGUAGUCAAGUAGUUGGGUAGUUGGGUAGUGCAGUAGCUGGGUAGUCAAGUAGUCAAGUAGUUGGGUAGUCAAGUAGUUGGGUAGUCAAGUAUAGUUGGGUAGUGAAGUAGUCAAGUAGUUGGGUAGUCAAGUAGUUGGGUAGUGCAGUAGCUGGGUAGUCAAGUAGUUGGGUAGUUGGGUAGUGAAGUAUAGUCAAGUAGUUGGGUAGUGCAGUAGCUAGGUAGUUGGGUAUAUAGUGAAGUAGUUGGGUAGUGAAGUAGUCGAGUAGUGAAGUAGUUGGGUAGUUGGGUAGUGAAGUAGUGAAGUAGUUAGGUAUAGUGAAGUAGUUGGGUAGUCAAGUAGUUGGGUAGUCAAGUAGUGAAGUAGUUGGGUAGUGAAGUAUAGUGAAGUAGUUGGGUAGUGCAGUAGCUAGGUAUAGUUGGGUAUAGUGAAGUAGUUGGGUAGUGAAGUAGUGAAGUAGUUGGGUAGUGAAGUAGUUGGGUAGUGAAGUAGUUGGGUAGUGAAGUAGUGAAAUAUAGUUGGGUAGUUGGGUAGUGCAGUAGCUAUAGGUAUAGUUGGGUAUAGUGAAGUAGUUGGGUAGUGAAGUAGUGAAGUAGUUGGGUAGUGAAGUAGUUGGGUAGUGAAGUAGUGAAGUAUAGUUGGGUAGUGAAGUAGUGAAGUAGCUGGGUAGUGAAGUAUUUAGGUAGUGAAGUAGUCGAGUAAUUGUACGGGAGCUCUGUGCUGCACUUAGUGACAAACAGAUCUCAAUCACUGUGCAAGACUUUCAGAAGAGAAUUGCCAACUUCCCUUUGAACACUGUCAAUCCCCAAUGGUUCCUAAACAAAACAACUGACAGGACCAUGAUUCCAUCUAGCUAGCAUCCAUGCAUGCUAAGCAAAAGAAGUGCUCGCAGAUCUACCAGUCCAGCUUUGACGAGUCUUUUCUCGAAAAGUUGGAAGCAGGUCUACAUGGAGAAGAGGUGUGUUCAGCUAGAGAAGGACUUCGACUCCAGUGGUCAGACUCCUCCAAAGGAAACCAGUGUGGAAAGAGAGACUCCUCCCCUCCAUCAUCAGACACUCCUCAUGUGGUAGAGACCCCUCCAUCAAACAGCAGUACAACUUCUCCUUUGGUAGAGACCCCUCCAUCAUCAGACACUCCUCACGUGGUAGAGAUCCCUCCAUCAAACAGCAGUACAACUCCUCCUGUGGUAGCUGCACUGUUAGAACUGGGGUGUAAUUUUACACCCAAUUAUAUGGGUACUGCAUAUAUAUACGCUUUAAAAACUGUAUACCAGGGGUGUAAACUGGAGCAGUUAGUUUACACCCAUACAAGAGUAAACUAUACCCCCAAAGAGUGUAUACUACAUACUUUUUUUUCACAUGCAGAUAUAGGUUAUGAACAACUUAAAAAUGUUAACAGUGACAUUAAUUUGAAGUGAAAAGUGACAACAGUUACUAACAAAACAAGAAAAUUGUACAGUGAUAAUACAAAGGAAAUUGAUUGUUUACGGAACAGGUCUUCUUGGUGUAACAUACUGGAACUCAGGUAUAGCAAGACCAAUCACUCUUGACGAUGAAGCGCCCACCUAGGCAUGUGGAAAGUUCAUAUCAUGUAACCACUUCAUAGGUAGUAGGGUCGCCUGGCUCCGGCCAGAUUGCUUUAUUCUUUCUCACAUUGACUUUCCAGUUAGUAUUUACUGUAGAAAAAAGGUGGACUAUGUAUAUAGAAAAAUAGACAGUGACCAGUGUUUACCUAAUUAUAGAUAACUAGUCAUCUGUCUGUUCCUUACCUGUCAUAGAAGUACAUUGUAACAUCAUCCACUUCAUGUAAUGCAGUGAACAAAUCCUGUCUUGUCUCUUGCUUUGUCUUUUGGAAGCACAUGGUUUAACAGCUAAUAGAUCUACUGAGCAUGCGCAACUAAAUUGAGCCACUUCCAUAGCACUUCCAUAGCUAGCUGCAAACUUGUGUAUAUCUUUCAACCGGCUUUGUAACAAUGCCUUGAGAUUUUUCCUUUACAAAAAUACUCCAGGUGGAUCUUUCGUACACCAGAUGUAUAUAUAUAGUAGACUUUUGGGGGGUACUUGCUGAAGCACAGAUACACAGUUCAUUGAAUGUGAUGAGUCUGCUUCUAGCAGUGCUAUAGCACUGCUUUUACAAGAGGAAACUAACAGCAUAAAGAGCAUAAUGUUAUGUCCAGGUGAUGAAAGACACCGACCAGAAACUAAAAUUCACUGGUCAGGAAAUAUUGCUACAGUAUACAUGCACUCUUGUGGGAUUAUUUACACCCAUGUUCACUAUUUUACACCCCAGGGUUCACCAUUAACACCAGUACCAGAUUUACACCCUAUAAGGGGCUGUUGUUUACACCCCUCCUUGCAUUUUUUACGCCCCAGUUUUAACAGUGUGUAGAGACCCCUCCAUCGGUACGAACAGAGAUCCAGCGAGCAGUGGUGAAGCCGUGACAAAACAACUAAAGCGUGCUCUUACACUUUGCACUGAAGACAAUACUCCUGUGUUGAAGCGAGCAAACGGAUGAAGGGGAGACACAGUACCACCCCUGUGGUGAAACGCAGACGCAUCAACAAAAAGAUCAACAAAAAGAUUGACACAAACAUUUGUCAGCAGUGCCAGCAGGCAGGAGACGAGGAGAAUUGGGUUGGGUGGGAUGUGAUUACUGUCCACGUUGGUUCCACAUUAAUUGCGUGAGGAUUGACCAACGUCAACAUGCAUGACAUCCGUGAACAGUGGAAAUGCUCAAUAUGUUAACUCAAUAUGUUAAACAGAUUGUUCUAAGUUUCUGAGCUAUCACUUACGUUUUGUGUUCACCUAGUAGAUAUAAUAUCUAGAUCUAUACUCAUUUAUUUACUCAUUUAUACACUUUGUAAAUCAGUUAGUAAAUGUCAUGGUGUUCAAUUAUUGGAAUUAUUACUGAUAACUAGUGAUUGGACAAUUGGUGAUGACUACCCACUACUUGACUAAGGUGGUAGUCUACAGCGCAUAGUUUAAGGAUCAAGACAUAUAUGUCCUGGCCUACUGGAUGUCAUGCUAAAGUGAUGUGUUGCCUUGAUUUCUGGGAGCUUUUUAUAGAGUGGUGCAAAGAAGCUGGCCCAGGAAGCUGGCCCAGUCGUACAUUGGAACGAUAACCUGAUAACCUCUCCAUCACUGUCGACCACAAGUUGGGCAUGAUUGCACGUUGCUGACAUCUCCGUAACCUGUACCUCAGCAAUGUCGUUGAGGCUCCCAACCACAGUCCUCCUGUACAAUCUCUUCAACAGCCCAAAACACCAGUCUGGAGAAAACUUGGUGUGGCCAACUACUAGGAACGACUGUUGGUGUGGCGGUUCGUCAUCGAUCGCCACAGGAGGUACUGAACCAUGGCAUUGUUCUUAUUUUUCCCUGUGCAGUUGUCAGCAUGCAGGAACACCGUCUUCUCACCUCUUCCAGCCUCGUCGCAGAGAAAGUUUAUCUGACAAGGAAUGGCUUCACAGUAUACCCCAAACAACGCACACUUCCAAACAACGCACACUUCCUGGGUGUUAGGAAGUAGAUGGGGCCCGGUUGCAGUGGAUAGUGUACCUGUGAAACCAAAAGAGUUGGGAGCAACAUGUGCAAACAAAGGUGGUGGAACAAACUCGCCGUCGAGUUGAGUGCAACGUCUUCCGGCAUCUGUCGCACAGAGUUUUGUACAGCGACCUCUCUUUGUGAACAGUUUCUAAAUGCUCCAGGUAACUCUUCAGAGUGGUGCUUCUCUCUGCAAUCGGUGUGUUGGCAGCCCUGGAGAGAGCAGUGCUGUUCUGUUGGCAGGUCCAGCAGAGGUCGGUCAUGGGCUUCGUGACUACAAGAUUCUCCAUAUGGACCUUUUCGAGAAACUGCAGGGGAGCAGGAUGUCAGUUUUUUGAAAUCCCGGGACUCGACCAGGUAGCACCAAGGAAGCAAAAUUGAGGAGAAACGUCACUACUAUCUCAUGGUAGUCGUCUCUUGGUGUUGCCGUGAAUCCGCGGUUGUAACCCAUUCUUGGUGUAACUCACUGUCAGAGUCCUCAUGCGUCGGUGCCCUAAAGUGUGCAUGCAAAGCAUUGCAAUUAAGUUUGUCUGUACUCUAGGGUACACGGUUAUGAAACGUACCUGCAGCAAAGAGAAAUCGGAAAAACUUAGAGCACACACUUUUCCCCUGUGGAUAAAGCUGCUGUAUGGGUUCUUCCGUUCUGCAGCUAUGUGCCUUGAUUCCACCACCACGCCUUCGCUGAAGUUGGUGCAGGCUACAAUCUGUCCUAGGAGAGCCACAUCAUGGUUGUCGCGUGAGAGGCCAAUACACUCCAUCCUCAUCUUUUUGAUCGAUUUCCAUUGGACCUGGGACAGAGGGACCUGGUAGAGAGAGUCUCACAGGGUUCGGUGAGUGGAGAUUCGUGCAAGCACUUCUUCAACCUCAUCUGUGUCGGCUUCCAUCUCCCCAUCGUUCUCACAUUCAUCAUCUAAAAGUGAAAGACUGUUGCUAUUCUCCUCCGUACCUGGACCUAGCCCUCCUGUUUAAGAAAAAAUAAUCUUUUAAUUAUUGUUUGUUAAUUAUGAAUGAUGAAUGAUCUGUGUCAAAUACCUGUGCCAUCCGUAUCUAUGUGCCAUCCGUAUCCAUCUCAUCGACUUCAGGAUAUCAUUAAUAGCUUUAGCCGUCUCAGAAGC